UACAGAGGUGGCAAGCGUUGUUCGGAAUUACUGGGCGUAAAGGGCGCGUAGGCGGCCUUGUAAGUCUCGUGUGAAAGCCCUCGGCUUAACUGAGGAUCUGCACGGGAUACUGUAAGGCUCGAGUUCGGGAGAGGAAAGCGGAAUUCCGGGUGUAGCGGUGGAAUGCGUAGAGAUCCGGAAGAACACCGGUGGCGAAGGCGGCCUGCUGGGCAGUGGCUGACGCUGAGGCGCGACAGCGUGGGGAGCAAACAGG
rnacentral:rRNA from 1 species